GGCUUCGGGUGGUACGAGGCCCCGGCCCGGUUCGACCCUGGCGUACUUCCCCAACGCCAGGUGCGUGACCGGACCGGGACCCCGCCCCACCCGACGAAUUCC
rfam:Gordonia bronchialis DSM 43247, complete genome.